UUCGAUAUGGUCUAGUGGCUACGAUACCUGGCUUUCACCCAGGAGGCUCAUUUUCGAUUCCCGGUAUCGGAA
rnacentral:tRNA from 1 species